rnacentral:rRNA from 1 species
GUUUGAUCCUGGCUCAGAAUCAACGCUGGCGGCGUGCCUAACACAUGCAAGUCGAACGCGAAAGUCCCGCAAGGGAUAAGUAGAGUGGCAAACGGGUGAGUAACACGUGGGUGACCUGCCUUCGAGCGGGGGAUAACGUCCCGAAAGGGACGCUAAUACCGCAUAACAUCCUGCCUUUGAAGAGGUGGAGAUCAAAGCCGGGGACCGUAAGGCCUGGCACUUGAAGAGGGGCCCGCGUCUGAUUAGCUAGUUGGUGAGGUAAUGGCUCACCAAGGCAACGAUCAGUAUCCGGCCUGAGAGGGCGGACGGACGCACUGGGACUGAGACACGGCCCAGACUCCUACGGGAGGCAGCAGUGGGGAAUUGUUCGCAAUGGGCGCAAGCCUGACGACGCAACGCCGCGUGGAGGAUGAAGACCUUCGGGUCGUAAA